rnacentral:ncRNA from 1 species
AAAACGACUUUGAUAGGAACUAGUAGGGGAAUGAUGAAAGCGCAGAGAGGUUCUGGCUGGUGUAAAGAACUGUUUGAUCAUCUUUGAACUCAUCCUUGAGUGGAGCACUGAAUUAAGUAGGCUGCUACGGCAUUUGCGACCGUUAUCUCGCUAGAGUAUGUACUUUAUAUAUAAAGCGUACUCGAUAAGGUUGAUAUUGUGAGAUAUCAAUAAAUUGAGGUGGAACCACGAAGAAUUAUUCUCUCGUCCUCUUA